GGUCGAGAGUGCGAAGAAUACAACACCCGAAAGGGGAAUAAUUCCGCUCGAUUUGACACGAGUUUUGAGCUCUCGACCGCCCUAAA
rnacentral:ncRNA from 1 species